AUUGCUUCUUGACGCUAAGAUCAAAGUGUAGUGUCCUUAUCAGUUUAAUCUUUGAUAUGUUCUCUAUUUGAGAAUGGUGUAUUAAAUUGAUUUUUGAAACAGGGGGAUGGAAUAGGAGCUUGCUCUGUCCACCUCACGCAUCGUCCUGGUAUUGCAGUAUCUCCAGGAAUAGUGCAGUUCCU